rnacentral:rRNA from 1 species
AGCGAACGCUGGCGGCAUGCUUAACACAUGCAAGUCGCACGGGGCAGGUUUCGGCCUGUCAGUGGCGGACGGGUGAGUAACGCGUAGGGAUCUAUCUCUGGGGUGGGGGACAACCGUGGGAAACUACGGCUAAUACCGCAUGACACCUGCGGGUACAAAGGCGCUGGGGCAACCGUGGGGUCGCCUGGAGAGGAGCCUGCGUACGAUUAGCUAGUUGGGUGGGGUAAAGGCCUACCAAGGCGACGAUCGUUAGCUGGUCUGAGAGGAUGAUCAGCCACAGUUGGGACUGAGACA